rnacentral:rRNA from 1 species
GAUGAACGCUAGCUACAGGCUUAACACAUGCAAGUCGAGGGGAAACGACAUUGGAAGCUUGCUUCCGAUGGGCGUCGACCGGCGCACGGGUGAGUAACGCGUAUCCAACCUGCCCACCACUUGGGAAUAACCUUGCGAAAGUAAGACUAAUGCCCAAUGACAUUGAGUGCAGACAUCUAAUCUCAAUUAAAGAUUUAUCGGUGAUGGAUGGGGAUGCGUCCGAUUAGCUUGUUGGCGGGGUAACGGCCCACCAAGGCAACGAUCGGUAGGGGUUCUGAGAGGAAGGUCCCCCACAUUGGAACUGAGACACGGUCCAAACUCCUACGGGAGGCAGCAGUGAGGAAUAUUGGUCAAUGGGCGAGAGCCUGAACCAGCCAAGUAGCGUGCAGGAUGACGGCCCUAUGGGUUGUAAACUGCUUUUAUAAGGGAAUAAAGUGAGAGUCGUGACUCUUUUUGCAUGUACCUUAUGAAUAAGGACCGGCUAAUUCCGUGCCAGCAGCCG